UACGUAGGUGGCAAGCGUUGUCCGGAAUUAUUGGGCGUAAAGCGUGCGCAGGCGGUUUGCUAAGACCGAUGUGAAAUCCCCGGGCUCAACCUGGGAACUGCAUUGGUGACUGGCAGGCUAGAGUAUGGCAGAGGGGGGUAGAAUUCCACGUGUAGCAGUGAAAUGCGUAGAGAUGUGGAGGAAUACCGAUGGCGAAGGCAGCCCCCUGGGCCAAUACUGACGCUCAUGCACGAAAGCGUGGGGAGCAAACAGG
rnacentral:rRNA from 1 species